UGGGGAAUUUUGGACAAUGGGCGAAAGCCUGAUCCAGCAAUGCCGCGUGUGUGAAGAAGGCCUUCGGGUUGUAAAGCACUUUUGUCCGGAAAGAAAUCCUUGGCUCUAAUACAGUCGGGGGAUGACGGUACCGGAAGAAUAAGCACCGGCUAACUACGUGCCAGCAGCCGCGGUAAUACGUAGGGUGCAGCGUUAAUCGGAAUUACUGGGCGUAAAGCGUGCGCAGGCGGUUUGCUAAGACCGAUGUGAAAUCCCCGGGCUCAACCUGGGAACUGCAUUGGUGACUGGCAGGCUAGAGUAUGGCAGAGGGGGGUAGAAUUCCACGUGUAGCAGUGAAAUGCGUAGAGAUGUGAGGAAUACCGAUGGCGAAGGCAGCCCCCUGGGCCAAUACUGACGCUCAUGCACGAAAGCGUGGGGAGCAAACAGGAUUAGAUACCCUGGACGCGCCCUAAACGAUGUCAACUAGUUGUUGGGGAUUCAUUUCCUUAGUAACGUAGCUAACGCGUGAAGUUGACCGCCUGGGGAGUACGGUCGCAAGAUUAAAACUCAAAUGAAUUGACGGGGUCAUAGCUGUUUCCU
rnacentral:rRNA from 1 species